AUUGAACGCUGGCGGCAUGCCUUACACAUGCAAGUCGAACGGUAACGGGCCUUCGGGUGCCGACGAGUGGCGAACGGGUGAGUAAUGUAUCGGAACGUACCUUUCAGUGGGGGAUAACGUAGCGAAAGUUACGCUAAUACCGCAUAUUCUGUGCGCAGGAAAGCAGGGGAUCGCAAGACCUUGCGCUGAUUGAGCGGCCGAUAUCAGAUUAGCUAGUUGGUGAGGUAAAGGCUCACCAAGGCGACGAUCUGUAGCGGGUCUGAGAGGAUGAUCCGCCACACUGGAACUGAGACACGGUCCAGACUCCUACGGGAGGCAGCAGUGGGGAAUUUUGGACAAUGGGGGCAACCCUGAUCCAGCCAUGCCGCGUGAGUGAAGAAGGCCUUCGGGUUGUAAAGCUCUGUUGUAAGGGACGAAAGAAUAAGGGAGUAACUGCCCUUAAAGUGACGGUACUUACCAGCAAGCCCCGGCUAACUACGUGCCAGCAGCCGCGGUAAGA
rnacentral:rRNA from 1 species